UCCCCUGGAAUGUUCUAGGAACCCAAUACCGGUAUUUGCUAAUGAAUCUGGCAGUUAGUUCUCUUCAUGAGUCUUAAGAGCCAUGAGGUUGAAGUCUUUUCACCUAUGAUGAAAGAAGAGGCAACUUUGAGGGAACAAAGAAAAACCAACAAUAAAUUUUCCUACUCACAGUUAUGCAGUUUUUCCUAAAAGAGCAAGUGGAAGAUCUAGGUGAAAUCAGAUUUGUGGUCCAUAGGAGAUUCUUGGAUCCUGUUGAGAGGGAUGAUGCCGAGCCUUGGAUGGUAACCAGGAAGACCAAUAAUGGAAAACACACUUGGAGAGGUGGUAUGUUAUGAAGAAACUUGGGAGUUGUUCAGCCAGCUUCCAGGUUGCUGUUCAUACAGCCAGCCGAGUAUGGAGGAGGCUGGGAGAUGAGUCUAUUCUAAAAUGGACACCAGGGUAGACCCAGAGACCCCUGGAGAGGAGACACUUACCAGAAGCUGAUCACCACUUGGCAAUGAGAUGACUGUGUUCACAGAAAGAAUUGCUUUACCGACAGCCUUCAGAUGUAAUUUUCCCAGUGAAAAAUCCCCUUGCCAGAGCAGAUGUUCCUUGGAAGAAACACCGAAGUCUUUCAGGAUCCAAGCCCAAUGCAGAGCAUGUAGAAGAUACCCAGUAAAGAUUUCCUUCUUGGUGGAGUGAAAAAAAACACAGCCUUCACCUCUCAUUGCUU